UACGUAGGGCGCAAGCGUUGUCCGGAAUUAUUGGGCGUAAAGAGCUCGUAGGCGGCUUGUCACGUCGGGUGUGAAAGCCCGGGGCUUAACCCCGGGUCUGCAUUCGAUACGGGCUAGCUAGAGUGUGGUAGGGGAGAGUGGAAUUCCUGGUGUAGCGGUGAAAUGCGCAGAUAUCAGGAGGAACACCGGUGGCGAAGGCGGGUCUCUGGGCCGAUACUGACGCUGAGGGGCGAAAGCGUGGGGAGCAAACCGG
rnacentral:rRNA from 1 species